GCUCGCCCUGCAGCUGCAGCCGCGUCUUCACCACCUCCAGCGGGUUGGUGAGGAAGCAGGCCAAGCACCCGGCCGUGGCCCCCAGCACCAGACUGGACUAGAUCUCCUGAAUCCAGGGGACUGGGAAUAUCGCCUGGAUCCAGGGAUAAGCAAGGACAAAGCAUGAAGAUCUGUGUCCUGAUGGGUAACUCCCAGUCGAAGCCACAAACGUGUCCCACUGCAGGGUUAACGCUGUUGAGGAGCUCGAGGUGCAUGUCCUCCCCUCUUUUCAUCCCCUUCUCCCUGCCCAGAGCCGUCCCACAGGCUCCAAAGUGACUGCAGGAGGCAGGAGGAGCAGCAGCCCCAGUGGCAGAAUCUGGCGUGGGGCCAAGGCUGAGUUACCAAGGUCUGUUUAUUUGGGGAGGGGGGAAAGGAAGCAAAUGUAUGUACAUAUACAUUCAGUCACAUAUGUUUCCUCCCAGAAAAAGGCCCCGUGAACUUAUAUUACAUGA